CGCAAUAAGUCAGAGCACUAUUUCACAGAUUACUAUUUUCAGAUCCCAAAAUAGUAACGAAUGGCGUGGAUGUAUAAGACAAGUUUUUCCAUUAUGCACAAUAUUUAAUAUCAUUAGAACUAGUGACCACUUAAGUAGGCAGGUGUGUUUUAAACGGCUUGGAAGAUCAAAAAUGGCCACAUGGCAACAUUUGUACGGCUGUUGGUCAAACAAGUCGAAAAAUGAACCCGAUUAAUACAAAAUGUGUGUACGGUGGAAGUGCAGAACACAAGUGAGGGGAGAGGCGCCGAGUGUGAACGACACGCCUCCUGUGACCAGGACAAGGCGGGGGGUAUAAAGGCAGGCUGGAGACACACGGUCCGCUUCACGGAGAGACAGCAGUGAGACAGAAGAAGCCACAGUGAACCCAGUGAGAUGGCAAAGACACAGAGGUGAAACCAGUGAGACAACAGAGAGACAACAGGGACACCAGUGAGACAGAAGAGAGACAACAGGGACACCAGUGAGACAGGAGAGAGACAGCAGAGAGACAACAGGGACACCAGUGAGACAGGAGAGAGACAGCAGUGAGACAACAGGGACAACAGUGAGACAGGAGAGAGACAGCAGAGAGACAACAGGGACACCAGUGAGACAGGAGAGAGAGAGCAGUGAGACAACAGGGACACCAGUGAGACGGCGGUGAGACAGCCAAGAGACACACCACUGCGAUGACUGCAUUCCUGCUGCUCCUCUCGGUGGCGCUCUCCUUCUCAGAGGCAGAGGAACACACCGUUAACGAACUUUUCUCUCUAAUCGGGAGCCCUUCGCAGAGAGUAAACGCAGGGGGCGCCAGUGAGUUGACAGAAGUAGCCCAUAAUAACCAGAGCAGGACUGGGGUGAAGGACCCUUCCGCGCCAGUCAACGAGUUGCUGGAGCAGAGCAUCAAAAGCGGAGACUCGAAGUACGGCCUUCAGGCCCUGCCUGCCGGGGUGUGGCCCAAGCACAGCGACCUGGCGCCUCCGCCCCGGCUGGGCCAUCACAACAAGAGCAAAAAGGCAGCCAAGAGCGAGCGGCUGCCCGUCGAGCACAACAGCGAGAAGAACCGGGGAGAGGGGCGCACUCAAGCCCCGGAGCCGCUCCCCAAAAUGCCGCCGGUCAGCGCCAGCAAUCGCACGCACAGGUUCCCCUCAGACCCGCUUCCCAACAGCCCCGCCGUCGACCCGGAUACCCCCUUUAACUCCCGACCUCGGAGUGCUCCGCAGCCCACGCCCCCUCGCAGGGACGCCCCGAACCGGAGGAUGGACCCUGAGGAGAACCGCCCGGGAAAGUCUAGCCUGUACCAGUCGGGCGCAAGGAACAGCAGCAGGCCAUCGGUGCUGUUCAACCGCAGGUCUUCCAGUCUCCUCUACCACUUCGAUGUCCUCAAGAAAGGUAGUAGAGAAGCUCCCCCGUCACGCGCUCCGUGGCUCGUUACAUGGGGGACGGUUCGCGGCGAGGCUCUGAGUGCGGGUGUGGGCUGCAGCGGCCCAGCUACUCAAAUUAUAGCUCAAGCCGUAAUUUACGGCAUAGCUGCGGUUCCAAGAAUGGACCCGUUGUCCAAAUGUUCAUAA
rnacentral:lncRNA from 1 species